GGAAGGUGAUGAAUGCAAUUUGGUCCGUGUUUAUGAAUCACCCUGAUUUUAAAUAAUUGCGUUAUCUUUCUGAUUCC